rnacentral:rRNA from 1 species
CUGGCGGCGUGCCUAACACAUGCAAGUCGAGCGGUGACAUGCGACGGAAGUGAAGUUUCGGAUGGAACUGAAGAUGUAUGUUUAGCGGCGGACGGGUGAGUAACGCGUGAGCAACCUGUCCCUUACAGGGGGAUAACACAGCGAAAGUUGUACUAAUACCGCAUGAGACCACGGUGAGACAUCUCACAGGGGUCAAAGGAGCAAUCCGGUAAGGGGUGGGCUCGCGUCCGAUUAGAUAGUUGGUGAGGUAACGGCCCACCAAGUCGACGAUCGGUAGCCGACCUGAGAGGGUGAUCGGCCACAUUGGGACUGAGACACGGCCCAAACUCCUACGGGAGGCAGCAGUGGGGAAUAUUGGGCAAUGGGGGAAACCCUGACCCAGCAACGCCGCGUGAGGGAAGAAGGUUUUCGGAUCGUAAACCUCUGUCCUUGGUGAAGAGAAAGAGACGGUAGCCAAGGAGGAAGCCCCGGCUAACUACGUGCCAGCAGCAGC